rnacentral:rRNA from 1 species
AGGACGAACGCUGGCGGCGUGCCUAACACAUGCAAGUCGAACGAGAAAGUGGUAGCAAUACCAUGAGUAAAGUGGCGCACGGGUGAGUAACACGUGACUAACCUACCCUUGAGUGGGGGAUAACUGAGGGAAACCUUAGCUAAUACCGCAUAAUACCCACGGGUCAAAGGAGCAAUUCGCUCGAGGAGGGGGUCGCGGCCGAUUAGUUAGUUGGCGGGGUAAUGGCCCACCAAGACGAUGAUCGGUAUCCGGCCUGAGAGGGCGCACGGACACACUGGAACUGAAACACGGUCCAGACUCCUACGGGAGGCAGCAGUGGGGAAUUUGCGCAAUGGGGGAAACCCUGACGCAGCAACGCCGCGUGGAGGAUGAAGUCCUUCGGGACGUAAACUCCUUUCGAUCGGGACGAUUAUGACGGUACCGGAAGAAGAAGCCCCGGCUAACUUCGUGCCAGCAGCCGC